CAGUCGCCGCGGUAAUACAGAGGAUGCAAGCGUUAUCCGGAAUGAUUGGGCGUAAAGCGUCUGUAGGUGGCUUUUCAAGUCCGCCGUCAAAUCCCAGGGCUCAACCCUGGACAGGCGGUGGAAACUACCAAGCUGGAGUACGGUAGGGGCAGAGGGAAUUUCCGGUGGAGCGGUGAAAUGCGUUGAGGUCGGAAAGUACACCAACGGCGAAAGCACUCUGCUGGGCCGACACUGACACUGAGAGACGAAAGCUAGGGGAGCAAACAGGAUUAGAGACCCCUGUAGUCCCUGUCUCUUAUAC
rnacentral:rRNA from 1 species